rnacentral:rRNA from 1 species
AUUGAACGCUGGCGGCAGGCCUAACACAUGCAAGUCGAACGGUAACAGGAAGAAGCUUGCUUCUUUGCUGACGAGUGGCGGACGGGUGAGUAAUGUCUGGGAAACUGCCUGAUGGAGGGGGAUAACUACUGGAAACGGUAGCUAAUACCGCAUAACGUCGCAAGACCAAAAAGGGGGACCUUCGGGCCUCUUGCCAUCGGAUGUGCCCAGAUGGGAUUAGCUAGUAGGUGGGGUAACGGCUCACCUAGGCGACGAUCCCUAGCUGGUCUGAGAGGAUGACCAGCCACACUGGAACUGAGACACGGUCCAGACUCCUACGGGAGGCAGCAGUGGGGAACAUUGUACAAUGGGCGCAAGCCUGAUGCAGCCAUGCCGCGUGUAUGAAGAAGGCCUUCGGGUUGUAAAGUACUUUCAGCGGGGAGGAAGGGAGUAAAGUUAAUACCUUUGCUCAUUGACGUUACCCGCAGAAGAAGCACCGGCUAACUCCGUG